UGCGUGCAUAGCAUAUAAGGCAAGUCCCACCCCGAAGCCUAUAUUGCUAUAUUCAGAUUUCUAUGUCAGAAUCUAGAAAACUGGAAGAAAUCAACCAGUAAAUGUUAAAAAGCAAGUCUGAAACAUUGCCUGUUUCCUUAGGCUUCUCUCUGCAUUAAAGAGAGGACAGGAAGAGAAGGUUCUGGGGUAGCAGCGCAAAGAGAGCUUGGCAGACCCUCUUACAUUUCUGUUCCCAUUCUGAAUUUCAUGCUGACCUGCCUGGCGCUGGGAGUUUCAGACGCAGAUAGAGUGGAGAUUUCCAGCCAUGAUGAAUGAUCUUGGACAGAGGCGCUGGUCGGGUAACAGCAAGUGUUAGUGAGAAACGUGAAGCAUUCCGGUGGUGACUUAUUCCAGGAUGGACCUGCAGGCAGAAGCUGACUUCACCGCAUCACUGCUCUGAGCCCUCUGAACCUUCCCUCUCCACUGGAACGUGCCCUUAGUUGAAAUAGUUCCUGAACCAAGGUUAUUUCAGGCCACUUUGGAAAUUCACCCAGGAAGUUUCAGUUGAAGCAGAUUUCAGAUACCUCAUGGCUUCAGAGAUACAUUGUGAGAGGGACUUGACCUGCACCCACUGUUGCUGGCUUUGAAGAUUGAGUGAGGGACCAUCAGCCAAGGCUUCUGGUGGCUUCUAGGAGCAGGGAACGACCCUCAACUGACAGCUGGUUUAUAAAAAGGCAAGCUAUCGUUUCAUGAAAAAUAUCUUGCACCGAUUGAAUACAGGUGGCUGCUUGUUUGGACUUUGAAGAUGUAAAGGCUCAGUAUAGAUGUCUGAAAAAGUGACAUGCCUGCCCAGAGAAUACUGAUGUUCUCCUGUAAACAAGGCCUCGAGAACGGACUGCGGCAUUCUCAGGAACAAAAUGCUGAUUUAUAGCACACCAUAGAUCAAUGUAGCACUGCCUGGAAAAGACCUCGUUUACAUAUCUAGUCUGUGCUUCCACGAUUGAACCAGCAACCGCGUGGCUAGGGGCUGGCUUAAACUUGGCACCCUGGAUUCCCUUAGGAUCUGA